UACGUAGGUGGCAAGCGUUAUCCGGAAUUAUUGGGCGUAAAGGGCGAGUAGGCGGUUAAUUAAGUCUGAAGUUAAAGGCAGUGGCUCAACCAUUGUAUGCUUUGGAAACUGAAUAACUAGAGUAUGAUAGAGGUCGGUGGAAUUCCACAUGUAGCGGUGAAAUGCGUAGAUAUGUGGAGGAACACCAGUGGCGAAGGCGGCCGACUGGAUCAAAACUGACGCUGAGGCACGAAAGCGUGGGGAGCAAAUAGG
rnacentral:rRNA from 1 species